UCCCUGGAGGACUAGUGGCUAGGCCUUGGCGCCCUCACCGCCAUGGCCAGGGUUCGAUUCCCGGCCAGGAAA
rnacentral:tRNA from 1 species